UACGUAGGGACCAAGCGUUGUCCGGAAUCACUGGGCGUAAAGGGUGCGUAGGCGGGUCUUUAAGGCAGGGGGGAAAUCCUGGAGCUCAACUCCAGAACUGCCUUUGAUACUGAGGAUCUUGAGUUCGGGAGAGGUGAGUGGAACUGCGAGUGUAGAGGUGAAAUUCGUAGAUAUUCGCAAGAACACCAGUGGCGAAGGCGGCUCACUGGCCCGAUACUGACGCUGAGGCACGAAAGCGUGGGGAGCAAACAGG
rnacentral:rRNA from 1 species